rnacentral:rRNA from 1 species
GACGGAGGAUGCAAGCGUUAUCCGGAAUGAUUGGGCGUAAAGCGUCCGCAGGUGGCUGUUCAAGUCUGCUGUCAAAGACCGGGGCUUAACUUCGGAAAGGCAGUGGAAACUGAACAGCUAGAGUAUGGUAGGGGCAGAGGGAAUUCCUGGUGUAGCGGUGAAAUGCGUAGAUAUCAGGAAGAACAUCGGUGGCGAAGGCGCUCUGCUGGGCCAUAACUGACGCUCAGGGACGAAAGCUAGGGGAGCGAAUGGG